AUGUAAGCUCAUUUAGUCGACUAGUUUACUUCUAGUUGUUCAGGAGAAAGUGUGAGGCUUUUCCCUGAAAUGUCACUUGAGGGGUUCCGUACGAAUCAACGGAAUUCGUGUGAAAAUGGAGCUUGAAGUUUGUUUUUAUAAGUUCACAUAUCUAUCCAAUCCUUGAAACACAUUUAGCUUGUUUUUUUCGACCUUGGACUACUUAUCAAAGUUAGUUCAUAUACGUACAAUAUAGUGUUUGGAGGUGGCUUUAAGAGUAGCACAUAUUUUUCAAAGCAUGCUGCCUUCCUUACCAUCAAAGUCCACUUUCCCGUCUCCGUUGAGGUCGAUGUCUGUCAGAAUUUCUUCCAGUUCUCCCUUCUUCAGUUUCUCCCCAAGCAGCGUCUUUGUAGACUCCUUCAGCUCCUCAUAGGUGAUCCGUCCAUCACCGUCACAGUCAAACUAAGAGAAGCACAGAGGGAACUUUAGAGUGCAUACUCGCCUGUUUGAAAGCGCAGUGCAGCUCCCUAAGACCCACCAUGUGAGCGGUUUCAGCCAGCAUCCGGGGCCCCAUUAAUUCACAGAAAUCAUCAAAGUCUACGUGACCUCCCCCUAUCUACUGUGGUUCACCUGUCCAAAGAGAGCGUUGAGGUAUUGUGUAUACGCUGCAGCAAUUGCUGAAUUCUGG